UACAAACAUAAUUAAUACAUCAUAUUUUAUAUUAUUCUUAUACACUCUAUCAAAUGAUCCCUUAAAGAUUAUUUGCAGAAAGUCUAAUCAAACACAAUUUCGAUUUCGACUUUAAAAUUUUUAAAUGAAAGGAAUUAUAUUUGAUUUUCACGACCAAAUAUGUUAUUUUUGUUUAAAAAGCCCUUUUGCCUCAAUAUUCUACAGACGGCAAGAGUAAAAAAGGAAAAUUGAAAAGAAAAAGGAAUUCUAUAAGCAAAGGGUAUUCGCGCGUUCGGUUUGCGUUCCCUCCAAAACUUAUCUCGGUCGUCCGUCAGGGCAAAAAUAUUCGCUUCACUGGCAACAGUGCUUGAAGCCUCAACCUUGAGGAUGGAACCUUUGAAGUUUUAAGCACAGGGCUUGGAAUGCUGUAGCAAGAUUGUCUCCACAAGAGGAUUACAUCAAUUAUGGUUUGCUAUCUGUUUUCGAAUUAUGGGUAUUUAUGUAUAUUCAGUUCAGAACCAUCCAGAUCUAUCAUUGAGGUGCAUCACUAUUGGAACGUUCCAGAUUAAGAGUGUGUGGGCUCGAAAGCAAGAAAAAUCUCAUGAUUGUAGCCGACCAGACCAUUAUAGCUUCAUGAUCACAUGAUGGCUAUUUUUGUAGUGACAUGUCUAAUGGGACCCGUCAUCCUAUGCCAUAAGUGCUAAUUUUCACUCUGGGAAUUUCUCAUUAGAUCAAGACAUUUCCUUUUCUGCAACCACUCAAGCAGCUGGGACAGUUGGAUCUUCUCAGGCCCAGUGAUGCUGACUCCCACAUGAAGCAAUAUAUGUCCUCCAAUGCCGUGCACACAGAAAAGUUCCAUUGAGCAUCAUUUCUUUUGACCGGUAAUAUUCCACUAUGGUGGUACUUUGCCAACUUAUAUGAAUCAGAUCUUUUUCCGAACUGUCCAUGCAAACUUAGUGUAAGAUAAAGCACAGUGGAAGAAAAAAAAAUCCAUGAAUGUGUCACCAAUUUAUUGAAACUAUGUUUUUGUCAUGUUAGGACAUUUACUUGAGGACCUAUGCUUUCUAGAAGUCUUUUAGCUCUCACAGAUUUUUAUGCCAGUAUAAUAUAUAGGGAACUUCUAGUAUAUUAUUUUA